rnacentral:rRNA from 3 species
GGGUUGUGAGGUUAAGCGACUAAGCGUACACGGUGGAUGCCCUGGCAGUCAGAGGCGAUGAAGGGCGUGCUAAUCUGCGAUAAGCGCCGGUAAGGUGAUAUGAACCGUUAUAACCGGCGAUACCCGAAUGGGGAAACCCAGUGUGAUUCGUCACACUAUCAUUAACUGAAUCCAUAGGUUAAUGAGGCGAACCGGGGGAACUGAAACAUCUAAGUACCCCGAGGAAAAGAAAUCAACCGAGAUUCCCCCAGUAGCGGCGAGCGAACGGGGAGGAGCCCAGAGCCUGAAUCAGCAUGUGUGUUAGUGGAAGCGUCUGGAAAGGUGCGCGAUACAGGGUGACAGCCCCGUACACAAAAGCGCAUGUGCUGUGAGCUCGAUGAGUAGGGCGGGACACGUGGUAUCCUGUCUGAAUAUGGGGGGACCAUCCUCCAAGGCUAAAUACUCCUGACUGACCGAUAGUGAACCAGUACCGUGAGGGAAAGGCGAAAAGAACCCCGGCGAGGGGAGUGAAAAAGAACCUGAAACCGUGUACGUACAAGCAGUGGGAGCACAGGUUUACCUGUGUGACUGCGUACCUUUUGUAUAAUGGGUCAGCGACUUAUAUUCUGUAGCAAGGUUAACCGUAUAGGGGAGCCGGAGGGAAACCGAGUCUUAACCGGGCGUUAAGUUGCAGGGUAUAGACCCGAAACCCGGUGAUCUAGCCAUGGGCAGGUUGAAGGUUGGGUAACACUAACUGGAGGACCGAACCGACUAAUGUUGAAAAAUUAGCGGAUGACCUGUGGCUGGGGGUGAAAGGCCAAUCAAACCGGGAGAUAGCUGGUUCUCCCCGAAAGCUAUUUAGGUAGCGCCUCGUGAAUUCAUCUCCGGGGGUAGAGCACUGUUUCGGCUAGGGGGCCAUCCCGGCUUACCAACCCGAUGCAAACUGCGAAUACCGGAGAAUGUUAUCACGGGAGACACACGGCGGGUGCUAACGUCCGUCGUGAAGAGGGAAACAACCCAGACCGCCAGCUAAGGUCCCAAAGUCAUGGUUAAGUGGGAAACGAUGUGGGAAGGCCCAGACAGCCAGGAUGUUGGCUUAGAAGCAGCCAUCAUUUAAAGAAAGCGUAAUAGCUCACUGGUCGAGUCGGCCUGCGCGGAAGAUGUAACGGGGCUAAACCAUGCACCGAAGCUGCGGCAGCGAACGUAUCACCCAAGACAACUUUACGGAGUUGACGAUUGACGGAGCGAAGCGACGUCAAAGCGUUCAUUAAAGUCGAGUUGGCUUAGGGAUACGUUCGUUGGGUAGGGGAGCGUUCUGUAAGCCUGUGAAGGUGUGUCGUGAGGCAUGCUGGAGGUAUCAGAAGUGCGAAUGCUGACAUAAGUAACGAUAAAGCGGGUGAAAAGCCCGCUCGCCGGAAGACCAAGGGUUCCUGUCCAACGUUAAUCGGGGCAGGGUGAGUCGACCCCUAAGGCGAGGCCGAAAGGCGUAGUCGAUGGGAAACGGGUUAAUAUUCCCGUACUUGGUGUUACUGCGAAGGGGGGACGGAGAAGGCUAUGUUGGCCGGGCGACGGUUGUCCCGGUUUAAGCGUGUAGGUGUGUGUUCCAGGUAAAUCCGGUUCACUUUAACACUGAGGCGUGACGACGAGGCACUACGGUGCUGAAGCAACAAAUGCCCUGCUUCCAGGAAAAGCCUCUAAGCAUCAGGUAACACGAAAUCGUACCCCAAACCGACACAGGUGGUCAGGUAGAGAAUACCAAGGCGCUUGAGAGAACUCGGGUGAAGGAACUAGGCAAAAUGGUGCCGUAACUUCGGGAGAAGGCACGCUGACACGUAGGUGAAGUGAUUUACUCAUGGAGCUGAAGUCAGUCGAAGAUACCAGCUGGCUGCAACUGUUUAUUAAAAACACAGCACUGUGCAAACACGAAAGUGGACGUAUACGGUGUGACGCCUGCCCGGUGCCGGAAGGUUAAUUGAUGGGGUCAGCGCAAGCGAAGCUCCUGAUCGAAGCCCCGGUAAACGGCGGCCGUAACUAUAACGGUCCUAAGGUAGCGAAAUUCCUUGUCGGGUAAGUUCCGACCUGCACGAAUGGCGUAAUGAUGGCCAGGCUGUCUCCACCCGAGACUCAGUGAAAUUGAACUCGCUGUGAAGAUGCAGUGUACCCGCGGCAAGACGGAAAGACCCCGUGAACCUUUACUAUAGCUUGACACUGAACAUUGAGCCUUGAUGUGUAGGAUAGGUGGGAGGCUUUGAAGUGUGGACGCCAGUCUGCAUGGAGCCGACCUUGAAAUACCACCCUUUAAUGUUUGAUGUUCUAACGUGGACCCGUAAUCCGGGUUGCGGACAGUGUCUGGUGGGUAGUUUGACUGGGGCGGUCUCCUCCUAAAGAGUAACGGAGGAGCACGAAGGUUGGCUAAUCCUGGUCGGACAUCAGGAGGUUAGUGCAAUGGCAUAAGCCAGCUUGACUGCGAGCGUGACGGCGCGAGCAGGUGCGAAAGCAGGUCAUAGUGAUCCGGUGGUUCUGAAUGGAAGGGCCAUCGCUCAACGGAUAAAAGGUACUCCGGGGAUAACAGGCUGAUACCGCCCAAGAGUUCAUAUCGACGGCGGUGUUUGGCACCUCGAUGUCGGCUCAUCACAUCCUGGGGCUGAAGUAGGUCCCAAGGGUAUGGCUGUUCGCCAUUUAAAGUGGUACGCGAGCUGGGUUUAGAACGUCGUGAGACAGUUCGGUCCCUAUCUGCCGUGGGCGCUGGAGAACUGAGGGGGGCUGCUCCUAGUACGAGAGGACCGGAGUGGACGCAUCACUGGUGUUCGGGUUGUCAUGCCAAUGGCACUGCCCGGUAGCUAAAUGCGGAAGAGAUAAGUGCUGAAAGCAUCUAAGCACGAAACUUGCCCCGAGAUGAGUUCUCCCUGAGACUUAGAGUCUCCUGAAGGAACGUUGAAGACGACGACGUUGAUAGGCCGGGUGUGUAAGCGCAGCGAUGCGUUGAGCUAACCGGUACUAAUGAACCGUGAGGCUUAACCUUACAACGCCGAAG